rnacentral:lncRNA from 1 species
GUGAUUGAGGAGGAUCCAGAGGUGCUGGAGGAGGAGGAGGAGGAGGAGGAGGUGGCCCCUGCAGAGGAGGCAUGUUGUUUUUGUUAUCAUACAUUACAUCAUAAUUGCUUAUUGGUUUCUUAUACACUGCUACGCCUGCAAAGUGAAAUGUCUUUAUCUUGGUGUUUGGUAUGAUGAAGGGAGAAUCAUCUCUUAACCUCCCUGCAGAAAACAAAAGAUUAGCACAGCCUAAGAUUAAUGAGUGUAUGCUCCAGUUCCAAUGCCUACCUGUGCCACCUAUUAGAAAGGAAUGCAGCAGGAAUUUAGUCAUGCAAAGUCAAACAUGUUUUAAAGGUGCCCCCCCUGCUGGUAAAGCAAGUAUGUAGCACUUAAAAUGAUUUUCACUUAUUUGAAGAUUCUUGCUGUUCCGAGUUGUAUCCUCAUGAUUGUUUGCAUGUAUAAGUCGCUUUGGACAAAAGCCUCAGCUAAAUGUAAUCUAAACAGUGAUACACCUACAAUUUGUUUCUUUUUUUUUUAUAGCUGCUUUUUGUGCAUUACUCAGGAUUUCCAUCCUACUUGACACGCAGUUAAAAUGAAAAAGCACUGUCUUGGGACAACUGCUGGUAUAAAUAUUCAUUUCAGACAUUUUUGACUGUUGGACCUCCAUGAUUACAAAAAAUGCAGUAAAUUAGAAAUUAAUCAAUUGUAAGUUUAAUAUAUAGAUAUACAAGCAGUAUGCAUGAAGAUAGAAGAGGUUUCCCUCAUGCAGGUAUGAUUUAUUUAUUUUUUGUGACCACUACUAAAUUAUUAGAUAAUUAAUACAAAAGAACAUCCUUAUUGCACACGCCCCCCAAAAAAAUACAAAACAUAAUCAAACCUUUGACAAUGUUGCUUGAUUUAGGCUGAUCCAGUUGAAGAGAUUAUGGCAGACCAGCCUGAGGAGGAGGCGGCAGCAGCUGAAGAGGAAACUGCAACAGAGCAAGCUGUGGAGGAGGAGGAGGAGGAGGAGGAGGCUGCUGAAGAGGCUGUGGAGGAACUUGUAGCAGAGGUGGAGGCAGCAUUCCAGGACACAGAGGAGGAGGAGGAGGAGGCUGCUGAAGAGGUGGCUUCAGAUGUUGAGAUGAUAGAGGAAGACAUUGCUCCUGCAGAAGAAGCUUUUGAGGAGCCUGCUGAUGAGGAGGCAGCAGAAGCUGAUGAGGAGGCAGCAGAAGCUGAUGAGGAGGCAGCAGAAGCUGAUGAGGAGGCAGCGCCUUCAGAAGAGGCAGCGCCUUCAGAAGAGGCAGCGCCUUCAGAAGAGGCAGCGCCUUCAGAAGAGGCAGCGCCUUCAGAAGACUCUUUUGAAGAAGAGGCUGCUCCUUCAGAAGAGGCUGCUUUUGAAGAAGAGGCUGCUUUUGAAGAAGAGGCUGCUUUUGAAGAAAAGGCAGCUCCUUCAGAAGAAGCUGAGGAGAAGGCAGACGACACGGAGGAGACUCCAGAAGAAGUAGAGGAGGAACAAAGAGAACCAGUCACAGAGACGGAAGUAGCUGAUGAAGUAGAGGAGACGGCAGAAGAAGUUGCUGAGUUGGUUGAGACUGAGGAACAGAUUCAGGAUGAGCCCACAGAAACGUAGAGGCUGCCGCAGUUGUCGUGGUGACGGAGCAGGGACCCACUGACCUUGCAUUAGCACCAUCUGAGCGUGCUCAGAGCGAUGAUGCACCUCUCCACCUCCAGAGAAACAAUUGAGUCAUUGUGACAACACUCUCCCCCUCCCUCUGUUUUCACACCUUCCAUUAAAGCUUCCUUUUGUGUGUUAAUGUGAGAUAAUGGAUGGAUUGUAUACUAAUAUGAUACUCCCCUUUUUACCCUUUUUCCUUUUGAAUCACAAUUAUUUCUUUCUUUAAGUAGAACAUCCAUUCCCAUUUUUGUUCUGGGUGAUUUAGUGUGACUGUGGCCAGAAGGUCAGGCAUUGUGAACUCUGUGCUCUACCUGCAGCCAGUAUACCGGAGUCUGAUCUGCAAGAGCUGGAACAUUAAACCGGGCUGGAGCUUUGUUUUGAAGUCCUCUCAGUGAUGUAGUUUGGCUUCCUGGAGCUGAAUUAUGUUGCUAAGUAAACUGAGGUUCAUAGCUGAGCCAGUAUUUGGCAGUUCGAAGUCAGUCUCGGCGUUAGAAGAUCCAGGUUUAUACAGUGAGGUGACUUUGUAGGUUUAGAAGCUUCUCAGAUUGAAAAUGUAAACAAAACUCUUGCUCUGAACACUGCAAAAUGUUUCCCUCCUGCUGAUAAAAAAUCUCCUUGAUGGUGGUAACGAAACAUAUUUCAAAUUUAGUAAUGAAACUAAUACUGUAACGAUCUGCACCUCGAUCGCAGGGUAAGUUCAGAAUUUAAAUAACAUUCCAUUCAGCUGUGUUUAGUUCUGGUCACAGUGUUGUAGAUUCUAUGCAAAGCUGUUGUGAUGUCUGUCACCCACUCCCUCACCCCUCCUUUCCCAGCCAGUUUAUUUACCACUCGGUGUGUGUCGACUCCAGAAUGAGCCGUGUGCUAGCAUGUGAAUUCAGAGAAAUCUUGUGUGCAUUUGUGUGUGAGAGCAUGUUUGCGGAUGUAUUCCUUAUGUAUCCCAUAAUGUUCUUGUGUUGACGAGUCUCUUUUACUAAUCGGACCUUUCUGUGAGCCGUUAAUGUCAUGAAGUAGUUUUUGAGACCGUUCAACUUUUUUUUUCUUGUUUGUUCUUUGUGUCUGUGUUCUGUAGAAUCCUAGUUCUUUUAUCUUCAUAUUUUCAGAUGAGAGUAUAAAGACCAUCUAUCUAGACUAUCGAAUAAUUUCUAGUAUGAAGUUGUAACUUUAAACUUCAGCUCAUUAAGUUUAAACUGUGAUGUAAAUUAGGACAUCAUGGAUGGUGCAAAGCUGUCACACUGUGGUGUAAAGACUUUUUUUGUUUUUUAAUAAAUAAAUACACCAGCAUGAUGAACAUGGUUCUGGCCUAGCAGACUGAUAGACAGGAUAGUGACACUACAAUAUUUUAACCUUGUGUGAUCAAGAUUCCACUUUGAGUAUAAGAGAGCGCUCACAUAGGGUUAAAUGGAUCAGACGUCAUAUUUCCGUGGAAGUCGGCCAUAACUAGCUGACACCAGUUAAAUGAACCAAGAUCUUUGUUUUCAUCAUAAGUAGCGUGUGUUUUAAUUACUUAAAGGGAAACUUGAUGACGCGUUUCUUUAGUCACUGUUCCCUUUUGUGAUGUCAGAAUUUGUGUUUUUUAAACAUUGAUCCAUGGUAGCAGGGCCCCUGGCAUCUGCAGGCCCAGAAGAUCAGAGAGCAAAACAUUCUCUUAAACUUGAUUCCAUCGCAGAACUAAGUGCAAUUUGGAAAACUAAAUUGAGAGCGUUAUGCAUCUUAUUUUGAAGGCGAAGGCAUAACACUAAGAUAGUUUUUGGGACAAUGGGUGCAGCACUGUGGAACACAUUUCUGUUGUGAUAUUGACAAUAAACAAUAUGUAGAUCUGAAGUUUUAGGAUCAAUUACAACACUGUUAGUGGAAGAAGAUAUUGUAAAACAUACCUUUUUUUUUCCUCUUUAAUUUGGUGUCACUGUCCCACUUGUUUCCAGUCCUGACUUAAUGUAACCACCAGAUUGUUUCUAUGGUGUGCAGUAGUUGUUUUUGUAGGAUGUCUUGUCCACUAGCUGGUUUUUUUCUACUUCCUGACACUUUGUAAGUCGAUGUGAACUGUAAAAGCUUUUUAACAUUGAAGAUUACAAUCUUUACCAAGAGAGAGCUUCUAGAUUUUUAAAAGGAACAUUUUUAAAAAGGACAAAACAUUUUCUGAAAAUGCUUUAAAAGCUUUUUACAAAGCCAUAAGCUAUUCGUGACAGGCAGGUUUAAGGGGCCGUGCUACUUCGAUACAAUAAAACCGCAAAGCAACCACACUACAGCAACCUGCUGAAACAGAUUUCUAUCUUUUUCAUCAUUGAUCUCUGAUCAGAAGUCCUGAACAUGCUGGAAAGGGUUGUGAUGACAUGGACAGCUUAGUCCCAGACAAAGGAGGUGGCAGUUGUCUGCUGGAAUCGCUAUAAUAGCUGUGCAGUAGUACUAAGCUCCCCAGUAUUAAAACUGCCUAUGUGUUGUCUGCAGAUCUAAUACUGUCCUGUAGACGCUGACGAUGGUGAUUAAAUUAUUGUGAAGUAAUGAUGGAUUGUGGAGAUUUGAAGUGUCAGUUUUCUGUAAAUGAUCUGUUGCUGCAAUAAAAGGUUUGGGACAACAUGGCAAGGACUCCAUUGUUUUUGAUUUAUACAUUUUGUGUAUGACUCCCAUACCAGUCAAGCAUGUAAUACCCUGUGUGACAAAGG